UCAUUGUCUUUGAUUUUAUCUAUAUUCACCAUUACUAUUAUGCUAUGCAGUUACUUUAAUCUAAUUGUUGCGUACUUUUUUACACACUAUCAACUUCCUACAAGCUUUGUGCUGCAAAAAGUGUGAGUCCAUACCAUGGGUUGCAUGUUGUUUAAAUUCGUUGUUCCUGAGCUGGGACCGAUUCCAGAUGCCAUGGUAGUGCUUAGACAUGCUUCAAGUUUCUUGAUGCAAUUCAGAAUGCAUAAAUGGACUAAAUUAAAGGCCUGGAUGUGAACCCAUGCUAUUCACUCGGUAAUGGUUGCAAAAAGAAAAGGCUCCUGGGGUAUUAUGAUGUAUCACUGAAAAAAAAAGUGACCAAGGGUACUUGA